AGAGCACUGACAUCCUGAGGUUGUUACAUCAAAGGAUAUUGACUGAGAAGACAAAUAAUCAAAUGACCCGUAACGCAGAUUCCAAGAGGACAAUUUUCAUCAUAGUAAAGAGAAUGGCUGCUGAUCCAGGCCAGUAUGUGGAGGUAAUCAGGAAAAACCCUUCUGUGUUUUAUUUAACGCUUACAGUUCCUGCUGAUAGAAACAAAAUUGCAGUCCACUGAACAGCAUCCACAUUUCACUGCAAAGACAUUUACUUCCUCAGAACUUAAUAGAAGAGGAGCAGGAACUCAGAUUCUUCAGAAUUCCUCUUGAAUUUAUCACAGAACCUGCAGAAAUAUCUGAGAAGGGGUGUUUCCUUAUGGCCUUUGCCUGAACAACACUGGUCGUUGUUUGGGCUUCUAUGCAUAAUUUCGACAGCCUGUGCUUUAUCAAAGAAAUUAUGUCAAUCGUUAAAACUGCUGCUUUCCUUAUUUACUUGAAAGUUUUGAAUAUCAAAUUCCAAGAGGAAAAGAAAAGCAACGUGAACGAAAACUUUCAAGGGAAUGUAAAACCAAAGGGAGGAGAUACCAUAACAGAAACAUUUUUUGCACCAUCCAAAGCCUACAAGAAAGCUGUGGAAUUUUCUGCAAUCUGACUGCCCAUGCAGAUACAUUCCAUAUUUCUCUGUGUAUUGGUAACCUGCAUGUGCAUGUAUGCCCAUGUGCAUUUCUCAAUUUUUAAUGCCACCGUGAGCACAAAGCAAAUUUUAA
ensembl:lncRNA